AACGUAGGUUCCGAGCGUUAUCCGGAUUUACUGGGCGUAAAGCGUGUUCAGGCGGCUUCGCAAGUCGGGCAUGAAAUCUCUCGGCUCAACCGGGAGGGGCUGUCCGAUACUGCGGGGCUUGAGGGCAGUAGAGGGUGGUGGAAUUCCGGGUGUAGUGGUGAAAUGCGUAGAGAUCCGGAGGAACACCAGAGGCGAAGGCGGCAUUCUGGACGACAUCAGACGCUGAGACGCGACAGCACGGGGAGCGAACGGG
rnacentral:rRNA from 1 species